CUUGUACUCGAAGUUUAGCCACCAAAUAUAUGCUUAGCCGCCGCUACAACCUCACCACUUAACCAUACCUCACCCAUUAAGCUUUGCUAGUAUUGAUACCUUUGGAAAUGAGAUUGCUGAGUCCCCUGUGGCUCAAAGAAUACUACAACACCAGUUGCAGGUACAGAUAAAGGUUACUUGACGCGAGCACGUUGAUUGUUCAUUUGGAGUUGCUUCUUCUUCUUCUUCUUCAUCGAUCUAGGAUGGGUUUCAGGCCGGCAGCCUGGGAUAGCAAGGAUGGACGUCGUUCUUCUUUUCUUGUUUGUUUUCGUCCGUAGCCGGACCCUGCUCUUACUCUUGAUGAUUAUGUAAUGUACUGAUGUGACUCUGAUGUAGUUUGUGGCGAGUGUAAGCCAAUUCUAUAUAUAUAUAUCUCUUCUUUUUAGUACAUGUACUUGUAACGAUAUUCAUUCUUGCGACACGACGAGAUGCGCUUCUAUCCCUGUCGAGGCCUUCGUGCCAAAUUGAGGAUAGGGUCGCAUCUUGGGCGUGACACCCGCUCGGAAGAAGAAUGACUCCGUGAAGCAAACAAACCGACGUAGUCGAACGGGUCCUCACAUCCGACACGCUUGCGGACCUCUAUCGAGACGAAGGAAACCGGAAACAAGAAUCAACACACGAAAUAUACCACACGAUGCACAACACAAAUGAUGCAUGAGCAGCUGAAUACACGCAGGUCACGGCAUGACAAUUCACACAAACAAACACUACACAUUAAGUGAAGUUAAAU
rnacentral:lncRNA from 1 species